GACGAACGCUGGCGGCGUGCUUAACACAUGCAAGUCGAACGAUGAAGCCCAGCUUGCUGGGUGGAUUAGUGGCGAACGGGUGAGUAACACGUGGGUGAUCUGCCCUACACUCUGGGAUAAGCCUGGGAAACUGGGUCUAAUACCGGAUAUGACCUCUUGCUGCAUGGCGAGGGGUGGAAAGUUUUUCGGUGCAGGAUGAGCCCGCGGCCUAUCAGCUUGUUGGUGGGGUAAUGGCCUACCAAGGCGACGACGGGUAGCCGGCCUGAGAGGGCGACCGGCCACACUGGGGCUGAGACACGGGCCCAGACUCCUACGGGAGGCAGCAGUGGGGAAUAUUGCACAAUGGGCGAAAGCCUGAUGCAGCGACGCCGCG
rnacentral:rRNA from 1 species